rnacentral:rRNA from 1 species
AUGGUGGGAGUGAUCCCGGUUACCGGGUUCCCACAUGUCGGUGGCAAGGCAAAAGAGGGGCAACGUGCACCGAUAGUUCAGACUCGAGGCAAAACAAGGGUGCAUCUCAUACAACAUGCAUUGAUUCAUUCACGGACGUCGUCUCGGGGUUAUACCUUUCGACGCGUGCAUUAUCGGAACGGAUCAAGUUCGAUGCGGUGUAGGGGAAGUAGACGUUCUCGGGAUGUUCGUAGUGGAAGUAGUCGUUCUCGCAUGCAUCUAGGGUCGACGGAAGAGGUUCUCGCGAUCUCGGCGAUGGUAGUUAUACAUGUUGGCGGUAGUCAAACUUGA